rnacentral:lncRNA from 1 species
UCUACAUUUAUGCAGUGUAAAAGUUCGGAUCUGAAAGCGCAUUGUUAUAUGAUGUAACCUACUGAAGCGUUAGUAAAGAGAAGAGAAUGUACCUCAUCGGCAGCGACAGAUGGACCGGGAGAGGAAGCAUCGAGGCUAGGUCCAGGAGCUCCAGUUGGUGGAGCGGGAGGUCCAAGCAUAUCAGGUGAAGGAGUCGGAGCAUGGUGUUUCUUGGAUUUCUUGCUUUUGCUCUUGCUCUUGCUUGGAGCUGGGGCCGGAACCUCAGCAGUAGUUGGUGCAGCAACAGGAGCCGGAGGAGAGGCCGAGCUCUCUGGUGGAGUCGUCGGUGCAGCAACGGGAGGCGAUUUGGCUGGAGGAGAGCUCACAGGUACUGGAGCAGGUGGAGAACUCACCGGAGCAGCAGCCGGAGGAGAAGAAGCCGGAGCAGAUUUAGAUGGGGCUGGAACCGCCGCAGACUUCUCCGGAGCCGCAGCCGGUGGUGAAGAAGUUGGUGGGGAAGUGGUAGGGGCAGCAGUUGGAGCCGGUGAUUUAGGUUUGCUAACAGGGGCAGUAGCGGGAGCAGUAGCAGGAGUAGCCGCGGCCGGCGGAGCUUUAGUAGGUGAGGCUGCCGGAGAUUGACCACCGACAGCGGUUACCACAAAGCAAAUCAAAGCAACUGCAAAUGCACUUCUACGAUCCAUUUCUUGAAGACAGAGGGAGAGUGAAGUAGUAACAGAAACUAAUGACAACGAGACGACAGACUCUCAAUAAAUAUAUAAAUAAAUGAGGGAGAGAAUCAGAAAAAAUGAUGAUUAUAAAAAGAAAAGAAGAAAAAGUUAGGAACGUGUUUGGAUCAGAAAUAGCCGUUGGAUGAGAAGCUAUUUCGGGGCCCACCGUCAUCAAAUUGUAAUGUGGCGAUCAAGACUCGACAGUCUGGAUUGGGGCCCACAUACAUGAACCAUGUAAUUUGUUGUUACAUUACCUGAUUAGGGUAAACUACACCCAAGGUCACUGAAGUAUUAAUAAAUUUACAUUUCAGUCGUUUAACUUUAAAAAGUUACAAAAUAGUCACUAAAUCAUUCGGAAGUUUUUAUUUAAUUCAUUGAGAUAUUAAAUCUCUGUUAUAUGGCUUUCUUUAUUCACACGGCCUACACCAAUCAAAAGAUCUUAUUCUCCUUCUCUUCAACAAUUUAAUUAUUUUCAUAGAAUAAUUUUGAAUGUUAUGAAUUUACGAAUCAAAAUUCAAACAGUUUUCUUUUUCAAUCUCUUACAAGGUAUGUUCUUCUACUCUUUGAUAGGUACUAAUCCAUUGUAUCAAUCGUCAUAAAAAAAUACUUAACAAUUCAAUGACUUAAAUAAAUACUUUCAAAUAAUUUAGUGACCAUGUUGUAACUUUUUAAAGUUAAGUGACCAAAAUAUGAAUUUACUAAUAAUUUAGUGACCUUAGGUGUAGUUUACCCUACUAAUUAAUAUUAUAAUAAAUGUUUAAUUCUAUCCCCAACCUCUGUACUCUUUGGGGUUUUAAAAUUUAGCCUUCCUACUUUUGAUUUUAAAAAUUUAGUUUCUCUUCAUUUUUAUUUAAAAGUCCAAUUCAUGAAAACUUGGUUAAAUUUUAAUAUUCGAAGCUUUGAUCUAAAAAUAAUAAUAUAUAUUUAAAUUGAAUGGAAAUGUUAUUAAUUAAAUUUUAAUUUUUAAAUCAAGCAGGAGAGAUAGGGAAUUAAAAUUUAAAAUUAAAAUUUAAAAGCUGAAAGAGUAAAGGGGUUGGAAAAAAUUAAACCUACAAUAACUAAUUGAAUGAUACAAUUGUUAUGAAGUAGUGAGACAGCUGGACGUAGGGAGAGUGGGGUAUUGCUGCGCAAAGAGACAAACCAAUAGGAGGCGGCCGCGUGACCGGGUAAAGCAGUUACGGGUGAUAUUUUGAGAUGGGUCACCGACUCACCGGCAAGAAACUGUGUCUCUGCAAGCAAAACUUGUCUGGAAUAACGUGACGUGUAUUAUACUUAAACACCCUAACCUUUUCUCUUUUCGUUAAAAAUUGUCAAGUGGCUAAGGCUUUUUUUUUUAUCAUCUAUAUAUUAGAGUUUUAAAAAAAGUUUUGCAAAAUAGUUGAGUUGUGUAAUUAUUUCACCUCCACCCUUUGGCCUCUCUCGGUACAUUAUUAUGUAAAAGUGAGUAUUCCACUGAAUCGAUUAAAAAAUUUUGAGUUAAUUGAGUUAACGAGUUUUAUUUUAUCAUUCUAACUCGAUUUAAUUUUUUUUCAAAUUGAAUUGAGUAAAAUAAAAUUCGAGUCGAUUCGAAUGAAAUUGUUUGAGUUAAAUUAAAAAAUUAAACAUGUUAAAUUAAAAUCUUGUUAUACUAUAUAGAGGUGCUCAUGGGCCGGGCGGCCCGGCCCGGCCCGACGGCCCGCCCGAAAUAUGGGAGGGUUUGGGUAAAAAUAUAGGCCCGAAAUAUGGGCUUGGGCAAAAAAAUGAUGCCCGAUUUAAAAACGGGCCGGGCCUCGGGCACAACUUUUUUGGCCCGGGCCCGGCCCGGCCCGGCCCGAAUAUAAUAAAUAUUUUUAUUAUUUUUAAUUUUAAAAUACUUUUAAAAUACUUUUAUUAAAUUUUUUAAAUUUUUAAAUUUUUUUAAAAUACUUUUUAAAUUUUUUUUAAUUUUAAAAUAUUUUUAAAAUACUUUUUUUAAUUUUUAUUUUAAUUUUUAAAAUAAUUUUUUGGUAAUUAUUUAAAAAACGGGCCGGGCCGGGCCCAGGCUUAUGAUUUUUUUCCCAGGCUGGGCCUGGGCAAAAUUCUAGGCCCAUAUUUUGGGUCGGGCCAAAAAAAAUUUUUGGGCCCGGCCCGGCCCAGCCCAUGAGCACCUCUAAUACUAUAACUAAUUCCAUGUUAUAACACAUAAAUUUGAAACCAUAUAUAUUUGAAAACUUUUUCAAAGCAGAAUAAAAAAAUUACUUUAGUAUGAUAAACUUGAAUCAUUAAUUAACUUAUUUAGGUCCCAAAAUUAUUAUUCUAGAAAAUUUUUAAUAUUUUAACUUUCUUUAUAUUUUUUUAGAUUUUUUUUUGAAAUUUUUAUAAUUUUUAAAAAGUAUAAAUUUGGAAUUUUUAUAAAUAUUUUGAAAUUUUAAAAUUAUUUUGUAAUUUUUAUUGAGAGAGUGGUCAAUUUGUUCAUUUUCAAACUUGGCAGAGACCAAAAAGGUAUUUAUACCAAUAUGUUAUUCGAAUUAUUCGAGUUAUUUUAAUUGUAAAAUUCAACUCGAUUCGAACUCGAAACUCGAAUUACUUACUCGAGUUGACUUGAAUAAUUCAAAUAACUCGAUUCAAUUAACUCAAAAUUUAAUUUUUUUCGGAUUAAAUUGAAUUUUGCUCACUCCUAUUAUUUUGCACAGCAUCACAAUAUAGAUUUUUCGGUUUUAAAAUAUCGCCGAUCUAUAUUCUUCUUCAAUGCUAUAAAGCUCGACCCUUCCACAAUCAUUAUCUAUACAUCAUCAUCAUACAUUGUAUGAAUCGUAGAAUAUAUUACUGGAUUGUCAUAUAUAAUAAAUUUAUAUCUAUUCAUCAUCAUCAUACAUUAUACAAAAAUAUAUAAUAUGUCAAUUUACUACAUUCAUGAUAUGGAUUGAAAGAUAAAAAUUACACAAAUAAAAAUUACAUUUACUAAAAAUAAUGAUAUUUUCAAUAAUUAUUUGAUUUUAUAAAUAAAAGAGUUAUUAAUUAAAAUGAUAAAUAAAAAAUAAAAAAAACUUGAAAACAAUAUAUUUAUUAAUUAUAAAUAUUAAUUAAAAAUAAUAAAAAAGUUGAAAUAAAAAAUACAUAUUAAAAUUCUUAUAAAAGGAAUCAAACUUAGGACUGAAAGAAGAAAUCACAAUUAUCUAACCAUCUAACCAAAAGAGCUAAUGUGUCAAAAAUAUUAAUUUAAAAAAAAACUUAAAAUAACAUGAAAUAAAAAUUACAAAAGUGAAUAGGAGAGGAAUUGAACCUAAGACUUAAGACUAAAAACACUAACACUUAACCAUCUGAUCAAAAGAGCUAAGUUGUCAAUUUGUGAAAACAUGACACAUGUUCAGCUGACGUAGCUAAAAAUAUGCCCUAUAAGACGCAUUUUCAAUGACAUAGACAGUGAAAAUGCACCAUGUAAGACGUGCUUUCCUUUCUCUCUUCAAAACAACAUUGAUAAAUUUAAAAAAAACAACAUAGAUAAUUAAAUGUAGAUUUUUUUUUUCAGCAUAAAUGGAUAAAUCAACCUGGUAUAUAUUAAAUUAAUUAUAUUAUCUUAAUUAUUUAUUUGACUGAGUCUUAUUAAUGAAUGCCAAAUAUUAUAUAUUAUUAAUUAAUAUUUGCCUUCUGUUUCGAGCAAAUAAGAAAGCUUCAUAUUGGCCAUUUACACGCACACACGCAUAUAUAUCAUAGUGUAUUAUGAAUAUUCCAAGUGAAGGGAAUUUGCAUGCUUUUGGCUUUGGGUUGAUGGGAAAACGACAAAAACACCAAUAUUAACCAAUAAAAUUAAAAGCUUUAGAAUUAAGGACGAAUCACGCUUGAAAGUAGGCAUUGGGUCUAAUACAGUUUGUAUACAUUUGAUGCUUCAAAUAAUGCAUUUUGAAAGUUUGCUGCUUGGGCUUACAUUUUACAGGGUUUUGUUGUAGAGAAAAAGAGAAUUUUUAAUUUGUAGAGUCCUCUUGUGAAGUGCUUCUUCUGAUACGUGGCAAUUGUGAAUGUAAGAAGUUUCAUACAUGUAAGUCUGUCUGGUGUUUGCAGCCGGGGGAGAAGACGAUAGGAACCAAUGAAUAACGUCUCUCCUGGUUUAUGCCCCCAUGCCUAAUUAUUUUUUACUCAAAACUGUUCUUUCAGAUUAAACUAAAUAUUCAGAUUGAUUUGUAAGAUAUGCAUUUGCUGCCAUUUUAAGCUUUCCUGUACUUUCAUUGGAACAUUGUCUAACCAAACAACUCCUUUUUUCCCUGUAAUGGUUCAUGAGCUAUAUAUGAUCGUUUCAGUUUUGUUACUUUUACAAUGUUUAACCUGCACAAAUGAUCUUGGGAUUCAUUAGCAUUGGUAUUAGUAAAAUAAAUUGUGAUUUUAUUAAAAUAUAAUAGAGAAAUAAAAGACAGAAAAUGGGUAAAUGAAGGGGAAAAAAAAAAAGAAUGGGGGAAAUUACAUAGGAAAAAAGAACUAGAGUUUCCGCCUCUCAAUACACCAACCAAAGAAUUACAACGCAGAAUGUGGAAUGUGAUCAAAAUCAAUCUAGAAGCUCAAAGCAAUGGCUGCCCAUCCCAACGCCAACCCUCCAAUUAUCUUCUUCAUGUUCUUCAUUGCCUCUGCUCCACUCUGCAUUUGUUUAUAAUAACUCUUUAAAUGUUACAAAUAAAUAUAGUUUUAAGAUGAAAAAAAGAUCCAUUGGUCGGUCCUUUUUCAGAAAAGUAAAUGAACUAGCUCAACGGUGCAUCCUUUAGACGCGAUUAAAAGAAAAACAAGAUCUCUCUACAUUUAUGCAGUGUAAAAGUUCAGAUCUGAAAGCGCAUUGUUAUAUGAUGUAAGCUACUGAAGCGUUAGUAAAGCGAAGAGAAUGUACCUCAUCGGCAGCGACAGAUGGACCGGGAGAGGAAGCAUCGAGGCUAGGUCCAGGAGCUCCAGUUGGUGGAGCGGGAGGUCCAAGCAUAUCAGGUGAAGGAGCCGGAGCAUGGUGUUUCUUGGAUUUCUUGCUUUUGCUCUUGCUCUUGCUUGGAGCUGGGGCGGGAACCUCAGCAGUAGUUGGUGCCGCAACAAGAGCCGGAGGAGAGGCCGAGCUCUCUGGUGGAGUCGUCGGUGCAGCAACGGGAGGCGAUUUGGCUGGAGGAGAGCUCACAGGUACUGGAGCCGGUGGAGAACUCACCGGAGCAGCAGCCGGAGGAGAAGAAGCCGGAGCAGAUUUAGAUGGGGCUGGAACCGCCGCAGACUUCUCCGGAGCCGCAGCCGGUGGUGAAGAAGUUGGUGGGGAAGUGGUAGGGGCAGCAGUUGGAGCCGGUGAUUUAGGUUUGCUAACAGGGGCAGUAGCGGGAGCAGUGGCAGGAGUAGUCGCGGCCGGCGGAGCUUUAGUAGGUGAGGCUGCCGGAGAUUGACCACCGACAGCGGUCACCACAAAGCAAAUCAAAGCAACGGCAAAUGCACUUCUACGAUCCAUUUCUUGAAGACAGAGGGAGAGUGAAGUAGUAACAGAAACUAAUGACAACGGGACGACAGACUCUCAAU